rnacentral:rRNA from 1 species
UACGGAAGGCAGCAGUGGGGAAUAUUGCACAAUGGGCGCAAGCCUGAUGCAGCCAUGCCGCGUGUAUGAAGAAGGCCUUCGGGUUGUAAAGUACUUUCAGCGGGGAGGAAGGCGAUGUGGUUAAUAACCGCGUCGAUUGACGUUACCCGCAGAAGAAGCACCGGCUAACUCCGUGCCAGCAGCCGCGGUAAUACGGAGGGUGCAAGCGUUAAUCGGAAUUACUGGGCGUAAAGCGCACGCAGGCGGUCUGUUUAAGUCAGAUGUGAAAUCCCCGGGCUUAACCUGGGAACUGCAUUUUGAAACUGGCAGGCUUGAGUCUCGUAGAGGGGGUAGAAUUCCAGGUGUAGCGGUGAAAUGCGUAGAGAUCUGGAGGAAUACCGGUGGCGAAGGCGGCCCCUGGGACGAGACUGACGCUCAGGUGCGAAAGCGUGGGGAGCAAACGAGGAUUAGAUACC